AUUCAAUUUUCAUCACUCUUAUCAGAAAAUAAAAUCCAGCUCAUGAUCAUUAUGUCUAAAACUAUGUUCCUCAAGUUGGUUUUUGUGCUCAGUCUUGUUCUCAUGAUCUCUGCGGCUGACAGUCUAAAAAUUGGUAUUGGAAUUGGAGGCCAAGAUCCGUCUGCAGUGUGCAACGCUGUGCAUGGAGCAGUGAGCGGUGAUACUUGUUCAAGCGUCGCGCAAGAAUUCGGUCUCCCCCUCCAAGACUUCAUCACUAUUAACCCUAAUAUCAACUGCGACGUGAUCUUUGUUGGCCAGUGGCUGUGCAUUGAUGGAUCUGCCUAAGUACUGUUGAUGGAUGGAUAUAGAGACCAUUUUAUGUUAAUGAACGGCAUCAAUUAGGUGUAAUAAAUGUGACCAAAGUCGCAGGUUUAUUUUCGUGUGCCUCUGUGGUUAAGGAUUUCACCAACGUUGGAAUUUCACACAUUUUCUUUUCCAACACAAACAGUGAAACGUCAUUAAAAUUCCAGUAUUUAUGUGUGUCUAGCACUCAGGACUAAAACACAAGUGAAGAGGGAGACCCUACCGAGUGAGCUAUUUCAGGGACGGUAUUGUUUGUUCUCUUUCACAAAUAUAUAUAACGGUGACUAUCUCUCAUGACA